UACAGAGGGUGCAAGCGUUGUUCAGAAUCAUUGGGCGUAAAGGGCGUGUAGGCGGUUUGUUAAGUCAUGUGUGAAAUCCCUCGGCUCAACCGGGGAACGACGCAUGAAACUGACAAGCUAGAGUACCAAAGAGGGGGGUGGAAUUCCCGGUGUAGCGGUGAAAUGCGUAGAUAUCGGAAGGAACAUCAGUGGCGAAAGCGGCUUCCUGGACCAGUACCGACGUUCAGGCACGAAAGCGUGGGGAGCAAACAGG
rnacentral:rRNA from 1 species